rnacentral:rRNA from 1 species
AACAACAGAUGAUGCCUAUCAACUGUUUAAAGAUGGUUUCUGCUAUCACUCUUGGAUGGACCUGCGGUGCAUUAGCUAGUUGGUGGGUAACGGCCUACCAAGGCGAUGAUGCAUAGCCGAGUUGAGAGACUGAUCGGCCACAUUGGGACUGAGACACGGCCCAAACUCCUACGGGAGGCAGCAGUAGGGAAUCUUCCACAAUGGACGCAAGUCUGAUGGAGCAACGCCGCGUGAGUGAAGAAGGGUUUCGGCUCGUAAAGCUCUGUUGUUGGUGAAGAAGGACAGGGGUAGUAACUGACCUUUGUUUGACGGUAAUCAAUUAGAAAGUCAUGGCUAACUACGUGUCAGCAGCCGCGGUAAAU